GCUAAGAGAGGCAGGUGGGAGGAGUGGGAACUUUCAUACACAUUACUCAGAUUCCCACCAGUCAGUAAAACAUCGAUAAUUAGCUGCAGGUUGGUCUCCCAUCUAACUGGCUCUCCAAAGAGGAUCACAGCUGCAAGUUAUAUUUUUUUCAGUGGUGAUCAUGACUACAGCCGGUUACAUAACUGUGGCUCAUACAAGCUUCAAUACUAAGCAAUCAUGGACUCUGCCUAGGCUGUUAGAUAAAGAAGAGAUUCACACAUUAAAAAGACAGUUCCCAGCAUUUGUGACAAAAACCACAGGAACCAUGAACUGGCCGUUAGAGUCCACCAGCUUGUGAAAAGCUUUUUUGGCCGCCGGGAUGGGCGUCUUUCCCCGCACCAAAACCCCAUCGAUGUCGAACAGCA